UUUAUAUCAACCACAAGUUGCUUAAUGUUUACUAUGUUAAAUAAGCCACAUUCCAUGGAACUCUUUGUUCUUGUGCGUUUGGGGGGAAAAAGUGAUACCUAUGAGCAGCACUCUCCAAGCUUUAGUAGGUUUGUCUCUGUCUGCUGUAUUCCGGUGGCUUUUGUGCAGGGCACUGCAACUUGCAGAGCAUGCCUUGCCCAGCCCCAAGGUGGGAAUUAAGCUCUUUGCCUGAGAAGUGAUAUUAUCAGCUCUCCUCUCAGAGAAACCCCAUUGUGCCUGAAUAGAGCUGGAGCAAGUGGGGAUAGAGGCGAAGAGACCAUAAUGACUCCUUUCUGAAGCCACACAAAAGGCAGCUAGGACUUCAGCAGGAAACCUGAGGAGCUGAGAGGCAGCACUAAGGUCUCCGUGGAGAUGGGGUAUUUAUUCUUCUUCCCCUCAAUGGCCCUGGAGGGUUUGUGGAGUAGCCAGAGCAAGCAGUGAGCAAGUAACCGCCUGCCUGAUAAAGGCAGAAUUGAUAGUGGAAGCAUCCCACGUCCUGUCCCACGUGUGGGGCCAUUGCUGGAGUUAUGCAACCAUCACGGAUUUGUCCCACUGCCAUUCCACCACAUGCACUACAUUCUCUGCUACAUAUCUGUGCCCAGAUAUUAGGCUCUAUAUGGUGCCUGUAAGCUGUCCCAUGUUUUGCAUUGAGCUCUGGGUGCUACGAAGCCAUGGCUGCAGCAAGGGCUUGCGUGUUUGCAGAGGUGGCAAACGAGGUUCUUCGGCCCUUGGGCUCUUGAGCUGACACGGCUUUUCCUCUGUUUUUGAGGCAGAGCACAUGACAGCCCUUGUGUUGUGGGAUCCAAGAUAAAAUUUACAGCUGUGGUAUAAGUGGUUUCAGAUUAGUACCCGGUAACUCCACCAAGAAAUCUCCACCAGGCAAACAAAUGCUGUUUACUGCAGAAACAGCUGCUGAACACGGUGGAGAAGGUGGAGGGAAAGUUCCCAAAAGAAGAUGGAGAAAGUCCUGCAUGGAGAGAGGAAAAAGAGAAAAGCCUGGGGAUGAGACAAGUUGCUGAGUUUGCACAAUAACAAGGAAUGAC
rnacentral:lncRNA from 1 species